GACGAACGCUGGCGGCGUGCUUAACACAUGCAAGUCGAACGCUGAAGCCCUUCGGGGUGGAUGAGUGGCGAACGGGUGAGUAACACGUGGGUAGUCUGCCCUGCACUCUGGGAUAAGCCUUGGAAACGGGGUCUAAUACCGGAUAGGACACAUCGCCGCAUGGUGUGUGUGUGGAAAGUUCCGGCGGUGCAGGUUGAGCCCGCGGCCUAUCAGCUUGUGGGUGGGGUGAUGGCCUACCAAGGCGACGACGGGUAGCCGGCCUGAGAGGGUGACCGGCCACACUGGGACUGAGACACGGCCCAGACUCCUACGGGAGGCAGCAGUGGGGAAUCUUGCGCAAUGGGCGAAAGCCUGACGCAGCAACGCCGCGUGGGGGGAUGACGGCCUUCGGGUUGUAAACCUCUUUCGACCGGGACGAAGGAUUCGUUUGACGGUACCGGUAGAAGAAGCACCGGCUAACUACGUGCCAGCAGCCGCAGUAAGAC
rnacentral:rRNA from 1 species